rnacentral:rRNA from 1 species
GACGAACGCUGGCGGCGUGCUUAACACAUGCAAGUCGAACGAAGUGGCGAACGGGUGAGUAACGCGUAAUCAACCUGCCCUUCAGAGGGGGACAACAGUGGGAAACGACUGCUAAUACCGCAUACUGAAGGAGGGGAUGGCGUGGGAGUAGCUAGUUGGAGGGGUAAUGGCCCACCACGGCGAUGAGCAGGAGCAGGUCUGAGAGGAUGAACGGCCACAUUGGGACUGAGACACGGCGCAGACUCCUACGGGAGGCAGCAGUGGGGAAUCUUCCGCAAUGGACGAAAGUCGGACGGAGCAACGCCGCGGGAGUGAUGACGGCCUUCGGGUUUUAAAGCUCUGUUAAGCGGGACGCGGUACCGGAAUAGAAAGCCCCGGCUAACUACGUGCCAGCAGCCGCGGUAAUAC